rnacentral:lncRNA from 1 species
GCGGCCCGGAUAUCUCUGCGCGGCAGCCCCCGCGGUCGAUCAAUCUCAGUCCCGCACUGCCGUCCCGCCCCGCCCUGUGCCCGCCAAUCCACGACGCCAUAAUCCCCCGCCGUGUCCCUCCCUUCCUCCCCAUUGGUUGUGACCGCACGUCAGCCCGACUCAGCCUGCCAAUCGCAGGACCCAGAGGGCCCUCUCCCCCGCCCGCUCAGUGUAAUUCGAGUUCCCUGUCCAUCGACUCCAAGUCCUCUCUCCUGCGCCGCAUGCUGCCUCGCGCUCCCUUUCCUUCCCCCUCUACCCCCUUCCGCGAUUUACUGUUUCCUCGCGCCCAACAGAAAUGGGCGACCGCAAGUCUUACUCUCGCCGGCGUUACAAAGGUACCGGCCUUUGACCUCUCCUUGAAUUAAUGUGAUCCGAUUCAUCUUCCCUCCAAGUUUUUUUUUUAAUUUAAUUACCCCUCCCUGCCCUGGCCCUGCCAGCUUCAGCUCCACCUCCUUGGAGGAAGCAGGCGCUUUUACAGAGCGCCGCGCGGCAGGUCCCCUUUCAGCCAAUCACAUCUGCGGAACCGCGUUCCGAGUCGUUUGAGGGUGUCUGGUAAAGCAAGCUCGGGGCGGUGUUGGAAAUCUGAAUGUCACCCGCGGUCCGGAGCAGAUAGGAUGGGCUGGGAAGGUACCCGCGAACUGCCGCCGGAAUUCGCUGGCAGCUGUGCGAGGCUCAGGUGUUCUAGUUUGACAUUUCCCUUCCUGAAAGCGGCAAGGAGAGGUCUAAGAGUGGGCAAACUUCAACGUUCGGUUACAGUGUAAUUAAUGAGAGUGGUGGGUUUUUAUGCAGUGUAAUUAUGCCACGAUUUGUUGUUGCUCAGUGGCUUUUUCACAAAUUUCUACAGAUUAUUUAAAUUUUCCACAAAUUUCUACGGAUUAAUUCAAUGGCAGCUCACUUUCUCCUUUUAUGAUCGGAUGGGUCCGAAAGUGAGGAAAAAGACAAUUGUCUACAAAGAAAGAGGCUGCCAAGUGGAGACAGAAAAGCAGUUAUGAGACUGAUGAUAGAUUCCAAUUUGUUAUCGUGCGGACUAAGUAUUAUUAGAGCAAAAAUUUACUAUCUUGCAAUUACUUCAUAUAAUUAGAUACAGUUCAUGACAUACUAAGAAGCAUCUUAAAAAAGUAAUCAAACAUAAUACUGAUUUUCAAAGUAUUUGGCUAACAAAGACUACAUUUUUUUCUCUUAACCCAAGAUUUAAUUCGACCCCUAUAAAAGCAGCAUCUCACUUUAUUGAUCAUACUUCAAAGCAUAUACUCAAUAGUUAAGGAUCAAUAAUUUCUGUUUGGUUUGGGUCUUUCCACUCGUGACUUUCUAUGAUUUUUUACUCCCCUCCCCCUAUAUCCUGUUCCAUAAGUACACGGGUGCUCUAGAUUUUCCUAUCAAUAGAGGGCGUCCUCGAGUCAUUGCAAAUCCUGGUGUCGUUAAACGGAACUGUUCUUCAGAGGAAAAACUUCAUCUCUAUAAGAAAGGAAGGAGGAGACCUGAACAGUACAUCCGGAGAAUCCAGCAAAGCAUACUACGGCAUGAACGUGCAAGUGGACAGAAUUAAAACACAUGCCAGAAACACUAAUGGAUUCUAAACAAGAUGCAGUUUCAUUUCCUGAGCCUAUACGUGAUGUUUUUAACUGUUCUCCAGUUAAUAUGUCUCCAUUUCCAGAAAUCUAACAGGAGAAUCUCUGACUGCUUAACAGAUCACCUAAGCUUGCGAUUUGUGCAAUCCUUUCUAGAGUAAGGGCUCCCCGGCUGCUCCCCGGCCACUGUGUACCCAAAGCAGCGGCUGAAAUAGCCCGGAGUCCAACAGCUCAGCGUCAAGCAGCUCGUGGCAAACGCAGCCGCCGGUCUUGACUGCCAUCGCCCAAGGGGUUCCUCUGGGCUCUCCCGCGAGCCAACAGCCGACCUCUCUCCAGCCUAGUCUGGGAAACUCCAGCCAACCCAGGAUCCCAUUUUGUAGUCCCGGGCAGACCCGAAACCCCUGAAAGAACUCCACUCCAGAAGACGCCAGAACAAGUUCCCACGAAUUUCAUGGGCGCCCUUCACAUGAAAACCUCAGCUCCCCUAUCCUCAAGGAACGGGGAAGGGCGCCGGGGAGGGACUUCGGUGGCCAGCUGUCCCUGGGUCGUGGGCGCUGUUUGCUCUGCGGAGCGCCAGCCCUGCACACAGCGGGUGCGGGAAGCGUUGAUGGGAGGCUGGAGGGCGGGGUGAGCGUAAACUAGGAUCUAGCCGGUUCCAGGCGUGGAGAAUCAAAUGUGGUCCUAGAUCUGUAAGUUGCGAAAAGGGGCUUUUGGGAGCGUCAGAGCUUUCUCACUCCGGUCCCCCGCCGCCUUGAGGCUGGCAGAUUUAUACCCCACAGGUGGAUGGAGACCUAAACAAAACAGUCCCGGCCGCUGCCUGCCGCUCGCCCCCCACGUCCCCCGGGCCCACCGCAAACUUCAACAAAAUAAACAACUCACCACAGGCAUUCCCUUGUCUGCAGCGCGACGCUUGCCAGCUGGGAAAAUAAGCCGCAAGCCACGCGGCCGAGGC